UGGGGAAUUUUGGACAAUGGGCGAAAGCCUGAUCCAGCAAUGCCGCGUGUGUGAAGAAGGCCUUCGGGUUGUAAAGCACUUUUGUCCGGAAAGAAAUCCUUGGCUCUAAUACAGUCGGGGGAUGACGGUACCGGAAGAAUAAGCACCGGCUAACUACGUGCCAGCAGCCGCGGUAAUACGUAGGGUGCAAGCGUUAAUCGGAAUUACUGGGCGUAAAGCGUGCGCAGGCGGUUUGCUAAGACCGAUGUGAAAUCCCCGGGCUCAACUGGGAACUGCAUUGGUGACUGGCAGGCUAGAGUAUGGCAGAGGGGGGUAGAAUUCCACGUGUAGCAGUGAAAUGCGUAGAGAUGUGGAGGAAUACCGAUGACGAAGGCAGCCCCCUGGGCAAUACUGACGCUCAUGCACGAAAGCGUGGGGAGCAAACAGGAUUAGAUACCCUGGUAGUCCACGCCCUAAACGAUGUCAACUGUUGUUGGGAUUCAUUCCUUAGUAACGUAGCUAACGCGUGAAGUUGACCGCCUGGGGAGUACGGUCGCAAGAUUAAAACU
rnacentral:rRNA from 1 species